rnacentral:misc_RNA from 1 species
GAUGAAGAACGUAGCGAAAUGCGAUAAGUAGUGUGAAUUGCAGAAUUCAGUGAAUCAUCGAAUCUUUGAACGCACAUUGCGCCCCUUGGUAUUCCAUGGGGCAUGCCUGUUCGAGCGUCAUUUGUACCUUCAAGCUCUGCUUGGUGUUGGGUGUUUGUCUCGCCUCUGCGUGUAGACUCGCCUCAAAACAAUUGGCAGCCGGCGUACUUGUUUCGGAGCGCAGCACAUUUUGCGAUCCAGAUCAACGUACAGCGGCAUCCAAGAAGCCUUAUUUAACGCUCUUGACCUCGGAUCAGGUAGGGAUACCCGCUGAACUUAAGCAUAUCAAUAAGCGGAGGA